rnacentral:lncRNA from 1 species
UCAAUCUCCCUUCUGUCUUGCAUGCUCUUAUUACAAAGUGAGUUUCAUCCUCCUGCUAUCAAAUGUGUGGUUUUGACCUGGAAAAGGAAAGGUGAGAAGGUCUUUAUUUCCUGUUCUUGAAUCUGGGAAGGCUCUGAGACUUAUGAGGCUAAUGCAUAAAUAGUUUAAAGAAUUUUAGCUGAUUCUCCUAAUACACUCGCUAUUGAGAUGCAGUCACUAUGCUGUGAGGAAGCCCAUGUAACAAUGUGGAGAUUCUGAAGUGAGUUCUGGGUUCUAAGCCAACAGCCUAAAUACUUUAGGUCCAUUAUUUAGGUCCAAGUUCAACCACUAGACCUGUACUUCGCAAGCCUUCAGAGGAUUCCUGCUUUCAGCCCGCAAGCUUUUUCAGCUGAAGCCCCCAGUAUCAUGGAACAGAAUCAGAUUAUUUCCACUGAGUCCUUUUCAAUUUCUUAACCCACAGGAUUUAUGAGCAUUAUGAAGUCAUUAUGGCUUUCUGCCACUAGGCUGAGAGUGGACCACAUAUACAGAAAUAAAAAACUAUUAAUAGAAAAAUAUAUUGCAAACAUCUAAUCCUCAAACCCCAUUCAAGUUUUGCCAACUACCCUCCAUCCUAUCAAAUAUUCCUUAUACCAAAAAGAUCCAGUUCAAAAAUAAGUGUUGCAUUUAUUUUUUAACCUCUUUUGAUCUGGAAUAGCUCCUCACACCGUCUUUCAUGACUUUAGUGCUUUGGAAGACUACAGAUGUUUAGGCUCAUCUGAAAUUUCCCUGCCGUCACCUGGGAAUCAACCAUUUCUUCAGGGAGUCCUAGUUUCUUUUAGCGUAUAGCCACCAAUUUCUACUGAGUAUUUAUCUACUAUAUGGCAGGUCAAGUCUGCAUUCUGGGAUAAAGUGUUGACACAAUCUUGAAUCAGUGCCUAAGGAGUUCACAAGUCCAGAGAGGGGAUAGCGCAUAGAGAAGAUAAAGCAGAUGUCCAUCCAAAGACUUGUAUGUGAAUGUUCAUAGCAACUUUAUUUGUAAUAGCCAAAACCUGAAAGCAACCCAAAUGUAUGUUAAGAAGCGAAUGGAUACAUAAAUUGUGGCAUAUGCAUACAAUGGGAUACCCAGCAAUAAAAAGGAAUGAACUAUUCAAGUAGGCAACAAAAGAUAAGAGAGCUGAAGAAGAGUGAAAAUAAAGAAACUUCUGCAAAGCCACACAUGUAUUUAAGAUAACUACAUCUUCACAGACCAGCAUUUCUGAAGAGAAACAAGUCCACAGCUCCCCAGUCUCAUUGGAAACACAGAAAUAUAUUUCUGGCAACAGUGGAGAAGAAUGAUAGGAAGAGAAUCAUACUGGAAUAGUAUAGUCCUUUGGAAUGUUGUUGUAAUGAAGGCAAGAAGAAAAAUGAUCUUGAAGGCAAGAAGAAAAAUCAUAUUGAAGGAAAGGAGAGAUGAGUUUACCAAAUAUAAUCUCAGAAUUGUUCUGUAAAUUUCAUUUCUGCUUUAGCAGCCAUAAAGAGCUCCAUUUAUUACAGUAGGAACAGAGGCAACAGCAACAUGGGUGGCUGGCAGUGAUAGAAAGGAUUUUAGUUUUGAUACAUGGAAUUUGACAUGCUUUUUGAAAAUCUUCAGAUGGUGAUGUACAAACUACUGCAGGAACAUAUGAGGAAAGAUGAGAGAAUCCACAGACUCUUUGAAGGAAGCAGAUUGCUCCUGCAGGGCCUGGGAGACAACCAAACACUGGGUCCUUAGGGAGAGGUGCCAGAGGAAUUGGAAAAAGGCCACAGGCAGAAGGAAGGCUCCAGCUAAACUUGAUUGACCCAUCAUUUGGAUGACCCGAAACCACAGAUGCAAUAGAAGAAUGGAACAAAUUUGUACAUUUUGUCAAUAAAAACUUUAUCUUCA